rnacentral:rRNA from 1 species
AACGAACGCUGGCGGCAGGCCUAACACAUGCAAGUCGAACGCUCGUAGCAAUACGAGAGUGGCAGACGGGUGAGUAACACGUGGGAACCUUCCCUAUGGUUCGGAAUAGCUCAGGGAAACUUGAGGUAAUACCGGAUAAGCCCUUACGGGGAAAGAUUUAUCGCCAUUGGAUGGGCCCGCGUCGGAUUAGCUAGUUGGUGAGGUAACGGCUCACCAAGGCGACGAUCCGUAGCUGGUCUGAGAGGAUGAUCAGCCACACGUGGGACUGAGACGACCGGCCCAGACCUCCGUACGGGAGGCUCG